ACCUCCGGGGUUAGAGCAUUGCUUUCAGCUGACGCAACCUCCGGGGUUAGAGCAUUGCUUUCAGCUGACGCAACCUCCGGGGUUAGAGCCUCGGGAGUUUGAGCGAUGCUUCCAAAUGAUGGAACCUCCGGGGUUAAAGCCUUGGAAGUUUGAGCGGUGCUUCCUAACG